rnacentral:rRNA from 1 species
UGCGAAGCGAAGCAGUGAUGUGAAGCAAAUCGCACCAAAGCCGGUCCCAGUUCGGAUAAGAGGCUGAAACUCGCCUCUUUGAAGUCGGAAUCGCUAGUAAUCGCAGAUCAGCAUGUUGCGGUGAAUACGUUCCCGGGUCUUGUACACACCGCCCGUCAAGCCAUGAGAGUCACCAACACCCGAAGUCCGCGUUUGGCGGCCUAAGGUGGGGAGAUGAUUGGGGUUAAGUCGUAACAAGGUAAC